AACGAACGCUGGCGGCAGGCCUAACACAUGCAAGUCGAGGGGGAAGCCAUCUUCGGGUGGUGGAGACCGGCGCACGGGUGAGUAACGCGUGGGCACCUGCCCUGGGGUGGGGGAUAACCGCUGGAAACGGCGGCUAAUACCGCAUACGCCUUGAGAGGGAAAGAUUUAUCGCCCUGGGAGGGGCCCGCGUUGGAUUAGCUUGUUGGUGGGUAAAGGCCCACCAAGGCGACGAUCCAUAGCUGGUCUGAGAGGAUGAUCAGCCACACUGGGACUGAGACACGGCCCAGACUCCUACGGGAGGCAGCAGUGGGGAAUAUUGGACAAUGGGGGCAACCCUGAUCCAGCCAUGCCGCGUGCGUGAAGAAGGCCUUAGGGUUGUAAAGCGCUUUCACCGGUGACGAUGAUGACGGUAGCCGGAGAAGAAGCCCCGGCUAACUCCGUG
rnacentral:rRNA from 1 species